AACUCCAACUAGGCUGUCCCACUGACCACAGCUCUCUGGCUUCUUUCCUUCAGCCAGUUCGCAGUUCACCUCACUACCCAAUCGUCCAGACCACACUUCCUCAAUUUAGCUGCGAGGGUGCUCUGGAAGACGGUGUCAAAUGCUUUACUACAAUCAAGAUAGACCACAUCCACUGCUUUGCCAUCAACUCAUCCACCUGGUUAUGCCUUCAUAAAAGGCUAUCAGAACAUGUCCUGGCUAUCCAAAACUAAUACUGAUAACACUUGUGAGGACAACCAACAAGCAUCACGAGUCUAAGCUAUUCACAAAAGCUCAGAAUCCAGUAUAAGAAAUGAAUUUUCAAAAUCCUUCAGUGAAGAUUUAAAAAAGAGGUUUAGACAAGGCUCUAACAUCAGCAAAUUUGAUGAAAACAUAAUUAACUGCCAAGAAGAAUCCUUCACCACAGCAGCCAACUCCUUGUAAGAAGAUAGCAUUCCAGAUGAAUAUUUGGAAGGACAGUGCAGUACAGUCAUCGACAAUCUCAUCUUUUGGCUAGGGCUUUUGCAGAACUAAUGAGACACCAGAUGGCUGGAUGGCACUGAACUUUAGAAGACGAAUAAAGAGUAAUCGUGGAAAUUAUCGUCUGAUACAUCACAUUACAAUCCCUAGGAAAAUAAUGGAAAAAUACCAGGCUGUCUGCACAGCAGAGGAGCCAUCUGUAACAACUGCAGGAUUUAACUCAGUAAAGCAGAUGAAGGAAAGAGCAAGUAUGAAUUGAUUAGCAAUGUCAUAAUUUGUACUGAUGUUUGUUCCCAGGUAUGAUAUGAAUUGCCAAAAUGCUGUCUCACAGGCUUGCUAACAAACUCUGUCGCUGCUCCUGUGCCAAGGAGUGCUCUGGCACAGGCACAGAACAGCCUGCAAACGGCUGCCUUGCUGCUGCAUAGAACCUGCACUUCUGUUCAGCUCCAAAGUCUGUGAAAUCUUAAGGCUGCUGAGAUUAUGUGACUUUUCAAGGUCGUACAAGAAGGGGCAAUGCAGGUUUCCUUAUUAAUGAAAUUUGGGAAACAUAGGUAAGAGUCUGCUCCUACAUAAACACUGUGGGUUUUUUGUUACAGAAGAAAGGGAUUUUGAUUUUCAAAACACCAUUGCAACUUCUUUCAUUGUAAAACAUUGUCCAGAAGGAACUUUAUUUCCUUGUACUGCCAGCCCCUGUUAAAAAGGAGAGCUUAAAUAUACACUAAGGGUGAUCAUAAAUAGCCUACAAAAUCUCUCUGCAUAUGAAAGUGAUACGAAUGACUCAGAGAAACAUCAGUCAGAUGGAAAAAAAUUGGUUCAGAUAUCGGUAUAGGCCUGCAUGCAGGGCCUAAAAUAGUUUUAAUUUCCAUGAAAUAUAAAAUAGAAGUGUAGCCAUGCACUUCAUUUUCUCAGCAAGCUCUCAACGAUAACAGCAAUUCAUAAGCCUCGUCACUUGGAGCUAUACAUACAUAAAUGAAUUCCACUCACUCGAGAGCUACAAAACAUUGUCAGAGACAAAAGCCACCUUCACCAGAAAACUUUUGUAUUUCCUCCAUCAUUACAGAGAAUGCAUCUUUAAAAAACUGAGUUGUGAGCCUUUGCACAGAGCCACAAAAUAACAGUUAUACAGGGAAAGCAACUCUUCAGUGGGCAAAAAAAAAAAAAAAGAUAUUUUGAUCCAAAA